GGGGAAUCUUCCGCAAUGGACGAAAGUCUGACGGAGCAACGCCGCGUGAGUGAUGACGGCCUUCGGGUUGUAAAGCUCUGUUAAUCGGGACGAAUGGUUCUUGUGCGAAUAGUGCGAGGAUUUGACGGUACCGGAAUAGAAAGCCACGGCUAACUACGUGCCAGCAGCCGCGGUAAUACGUAGGUGGCAAGCGUUGUCCGGAAUUAUUGGGCGUAAAGCGCGCGCAGGCGGAUUGGUCAGUCUGUCUUAAAAGUUCGGGGCUUAACCCCGUGAUGGGAUGGAAACUGCCAAUCUAGAGUAUCGGAGAGGAAAGUGGAAUUCCUAGUGUAGCGGUGAAAUGCGUAGAUAUUAGGAAGAACACCAGUGGCGAAGGCGACUUUCUGGACGAAAACUGACGGUGAGGCGCGAAAGCCAGGGGAGCGAACCGGAUUAGAUACCCCGGUAGUCCUGGCCGUAAACGAUGGGUACUAGGUGUAGGAGGUAUCGACCCCUUCUGUGCCGGAGUUAACGCAAUAAGUACCCCGCCUGGGGAGUACGACCGCAAGGUUG
rnacentral:rRNA from 1 species